CUUUAUUAACACUAUACAAACACACAACUUUAUUAACACUGUACAAACACACAACUUUAUUAUCACUGUACAAACACACAACUUUAUUAACACUGUACAAACACAACUUUAUUAACACUGUACAAACACAACUUUAUUAACACUGUACAAACACACAACUUUAUUAUCACUGUACAAACACAACUUUAUUAACACUGUACAAACACACAACUUUAUUAACACUGUACACACACAACUUUAUUAACACUGUACAAACACACAACUUUAUUAACACUGUACAAACACAACUUUAUUAACACUGUACAAACACACAACUUUAUUCACACUGUACAAACACACAACUUUAUUCACACUGUACAAACACACAACUUUAUUAUCACUGUACAAACACAACUUUAUUAACACUGUACAAACACACAACUUUAUUAUCACUGUACAAACAACUUUAUUAUCACUGUACAAACAACUUUAUUAUCACUGUACAAACACAACUUUAUUAACACUGUACAAACACAACUUUAUUAUCACUGUACAAACACAACUUUAUUAACACUGUACAAACACACAACUUUAUUCCCACUGUACAAACACACAACUUCAUUAUCACUGUACAAACACACAACUUUAUUAUCACUGUACAGACACACAACGGCUGAGGGCGGCUGUGGCUGAGAGGCAGAGCUGGUCGUUCCUUAAUUGGAAGGUUGUGGGUUUGAUCCCUGGCUCCUGGUGCCACAUGUCGAAGUAUCCUUGAGCAAGAUACUGAACCCCAAAUUGCUCCCGAUGCCGUGCAUCGGUGUGUCAAUGUGUAUGAAUGUUAGUUUCUGUUUGAUGGACUUUGCCAUCACUGAGUGAAUGUGUGUGAAAGGGUGAAUGUGGCACUUAGUGUAAAAGCGCUUUGAGUGGUUGGAAGACUAGAAAGGCACUAUACAAGUACAAGUCCAUUCCAUUAACCAUUUACAACUUUAGUAUCACAAACAUACAACUUUUGUGUCUCCAGGUUGCGCUGCAAGCAGCCGGGUGUUUUCCGCUGCAGUCUGACCGGUCUGCUGUUGGAGGGUCUUGGUGAUGUGGUCUAUCAGACGGUUCCCUGGGACUUGGACUUCCUGUCCUCUAAAGGGCUGAGGCCAGCUGGACCGCUGUUCAGGUUCACCCUGCUGACAGGAAGUUUCCACCGCCUCCACCUGCCACACUGCCAGCUGCUCUCAGAUGGCAGGCAGCACUUCCUGUCUGUGG
rnacentral:lncRNA from 15 species